AAUAAUUAGGCCUUUUAGAGUCUCUAAUGCAGAUUUUACAGGGGAAAAGAGUGAUAGCUGCUGUGUUAGACAGAGUGGGCUUCACAGCACCCGGCUCUCCAUCCUGGCUCCCCUCUCUCCUCCCUCCUAGUCGUACAUGGGCUCAACAUUAAAAACGACCGGAGGCCUAAGCUCCAGCGACCUGGGGAGCAGCGCUGGAACCGGAGAGCGUGCACGGGCACUCUGAAAUGCGUGCGAGCCAUUAUUUCCAGCUACCAUGCGGCAGACCUGGGCAGGACAGAGGCGAGGCGCUGCGAAAGCGAGCCUGUUGGGCUCUGUGUUAAUGAGACAGCUCUGCAGGGAUGAGAAGAACACACACAGAGCAGCUCAGGAGACGUCUGCCGGCCUCCCAAAGAUUAAGAGUCCCUCUCGCUUCCAAGCAAGGACGCCAGCGGGGCUGAAAUACUCCACAUCUGGGAGACAUUAAGGGCAACAUGGAAGAGGCUCAUUUAAGGCUCUUGUUAGCUCACCUGGCACUUUAAGGAGGACCAUUAAUAUUGAUCUACUUAAAAUUUGAACAAGCUCAGUUCACAUGUCUGUUCGGUGAAGGAGACACAGGACCUCAGUGUGCAUCAGUCCAGCCUUCGCUAUCAAACUGGCCGAGGGCUGUGAUUGGAAGCGAAUCGCCUCUCCAGAUGUUCUCCCUUGUAUUUCAUUGAAUCCAACACCUCUGUAGGGCGACUGUCCAGCCGUAAAUCACCGGCUGCGUGCCGCAUAAGGAGAAUGAGGGGAUGUGGCUCCGCGCAUUAGUCACAUGCUCGAUUCAUGAGCUCACUGCAAAUAUCUUCGGGACGCAAGCGAAACAAUUAGCUGUUACCUUAACCCCGAGGCCACAAAGUCUCCUAAAGGGGUUUGGUAUCCCCUUUAUGUGCUCCGAAGCCCCAGCCCCAGGCCCCGGGGACAGCAGAGCUUUAUAAGAAUUACUGGGUUUUAUGUGGUUUUCUUGGAUGACAGUCCACCACAAGUCACUGUGCAGCGUUAGCAUCAGUUCACGGCUUUAUUGCGGUUCCGUAGCAGAGCUUCGGUUCCAGCCGCCGCAGAUCAGUCAGGUCGAACAGGUGUCCGCGAAGCGCUCGGCUCUCAUCCGUCUAAUGUAAAUGUACUGUGCAACCAAGACGGUGAUUAAUCUCCGCAAAGCACCGGGCGACGCUCAGCUUCCAAGCCCUGAGUCAGAGCUGCGUCUGUAUCAGUAUUCAGCAUGUGAGCCAAACAUUUAAACAGAAACACAGUGUGCUAUCAUAGACCCUCCUUAACC
rnacentral:lncRNA from 1 species